rnacentral:rRNA from 1 species
ACACGACUACAUUAGAUACCCCGGUAGUCCUAGCCGUAAACGAUACUCGCUAGGUGUCGGCCACGGUGCGACCGUUGUCGGUGCCGUAGGGAAGCCGUGAAGCGAGCCACCUGGGAAGUACGGCCGCAAGGCUGAAACUUAAAGGAAUCGGCGGGGGAGCACAACAACGGGUGGAGCUUGCGGUUUAAUUGGAUUCAACGCCGGAAAUCUUACCGGGACCGACAGCAACAUGAAGGCCAAGCUGAAGACUUUGCCGGAUUAGCUG